rnacentral:ncRNA from 1 species
CUAUAGAUAAUGAUAGAAAAAAGUAACCUUAUGGAUCAUAAAGAGAGCUAGUGGUUGGUGUAAACUAGUUGAAAAAUGAGGCGAAAUACAUUCUUGAAUCUUAUACUGAAAGGCUAAGGCUUACUAGGUUGUUACGUAAAUUCCAACGUUAUAUGGGAAAUGAGUGAAUAUGCUUGCAUAUUAAUUUGGGUGGUACCACGGAAAUUUCGUCCCUUUA